AUAUGCCUGGCUCCCUGUAUGCCACACGGCAACGUCAAUCCGGCAGAUGGAUCGGCGGAGGCGGGCGGCGUAUGAGGAGCCAAGCAUGU
rnacentral:pre_miRNA from 1 species